CGAGAAGAGGGAAUCAUCGCCGGCCCUUAUAGCAAUAUAAGGACGGGAGGAAAGUCCGGACACCACAUGGCAACGUAGCGGGUAACGCCCGUCCAUCGCGAGGUGAGGACAAGUGCAACAGAAAGUAUGUACAGGUAAUGCUGUAGUGAAACCAGGUAAACUCUACGUGGUGCAAGCUCAAAUAGGCUUAGGUGUUUCUAGCAAUAGAAACUAGAGGGUGCCACUCUCGAAAUAAGCGGGUAGAGUGCUUGAGCCUUGGAGCAAUCCAGGGCCUAGAUGAAUGAUGGUUGAAAACAGGAUCCGGCUUACUCCUUCUCUCGGUUU
rnacentral:RNase_P_RNA from 1 species